GACGAACGCUGGCGGCGUGCUUAACACAUGCAAGUCGAACGGUGAAGCGCCUUCCUUUUUGGUGGGUGUGGAUGAGUGGCGAACGGGUGAGUAACACGUGAGUAACCUGCCCCCUUCUUCUGGAUAACCGCAUGAAAGUGUGGCUAAUACGGGAUAUUCUGGGUCUGGCGCAUGAUGGGUCUGGGAAAGAUAUUGUUUCGGUGGGGGAUUGGCUCGCGGCCUAUCAGCUUGUUGGUGGGGUGAUGGCCUACCAAGGCGGUGACGGGUAGCCGGCCUGAGGGGGUGGACGGUCACACUGGGGCUGAGGAACGGCCAAGCCGGGUAUGGGACGCAGCAGUGAGUAAUACUGGACGAUGGGCGCGAGACUGAUGCAGCGACGCCGCGUGAGUGAUGGAGGCCUGCCGGUUGUGAGACUCUUGCGUCAGUGAAGCAGGCCUGCCUCGUGUGUGGGUAGGUUGACGGUAGCUGGAUAAGAAGCGCCGGCUAACUACGUG
rnacentral:rRNA from 1 species